AUAACCCUGUAAUAUGUUUGUGGCCAUAAAAUCUAUGCUGUCAAACUGAUUAGGAAACUGACUACCACCUGCAGGUCAGGGCCAAGGUUAUGGGAUACCAGGUUCACCUCCUCAGCUUCCUCCUCCUUUGGAUCUCUGAUGCCAGGGCAGAAAUGAUACUCACACAGUCUCUGGCAUUUGUGUCAGCGACUCCAGGAGACAAAGUCACCAUCUCCUGCAAAGCCAGCCAAGACAUUGAUGAUGAUAUGAACUGGUACCAACAGGAACCAGGAGAAGCUCCUAAACUCAUUAUUAAAGAUGCUACUACUCUCGUUUCUGGAAUCCCACCUAGAUUCAGUGGCGGCAGGUAUGGAGUAGAUUUUACUCUCACAAUUAAUAAUGUAGAAUCUGAGGAUGCUGCAUAUUACUUCUGUCAACAACAUGAUAAUUUCCCUCUCACAGUGAUGCACCCUGUUACAAAAACCUCCAAAUGCUCUCAGUGGGAUUGCCUCAGCUGCUGCUGAAAAUAUUCAGAAUGUGGAACUGGGUG